CUGCAUCAUGGGCGAACCGGGGGAACUGAAACAUCUAAGUACCCCGAGGAAAAGAAAUCAACCGAGAUUCCGAAAGUAGCGGCGAGCGAAAUUGGACUAGCCCUUAAGCUUUACACGCGUUAGACGAACGGUCUGGAAAGUCCGACGAUACAGGGUGAUAGUCCCGUAGUUGACGACGUGUGUUCAGUGAAAUCGAGUAGGGCGGGACACGUGAUAUCCUGUCUGAAUAUGGGGGGACCAUCCUCCAAGGCUAAAUACUACUGACUGACCGAUAGUGAACCAGUACCGUGAGGGAAAGGCGAAAAGAACCCCUGUGAGGGGAGUGAAAUAGAACCUGAAACCGUGUACGUACAAGCAGUAGGAGCAGGCUUUGUCCUGUGACUGCGUACCUUUUGUAUAAUGGGUCAGCGACUUAUAUUCAGUGGCAAGGUUAACCAUCUAGGGGAGCCGUAGGGAAACCGAGUCUUAACUGGGCGUUCAGUCUCUGGAUAUAGACCCGAAACCAGGUGAUCUAGCCAUGGGCAGGUUGAAGGUUGAGUAACAUCAACUGGAGGACCGAACCGACUAAUGUUGAAAAAUUAGCGGAUGACUUGUGGCUAGGGGUGAAAGGCCAAUCAAACCUGGAGAUAGCUGGUUCUCCCCGAAAGCUAUUUAGGUAGCGCCUCGGACGAAUACUACUGGGGGUAGAGCACUGUUAAGGCUAGGGGGUCAUCCCGACUUACCAACCCUUUGCAAACUCCGAAUACCAGUAAGUACUAUCCGGGAGACACACGGCGGGUGCUAACGUCCGUCGUGGAGAGGGAAACAACCCAGACCGCCAGCUAAGGUCCCAAAUUACUACUAAGUGGGAAACGAUGUGGGAAGGCUCAGACAGCCAGGAUGUUGGCUUAGAAGCAGCCAUCAUUUAAAGAAAGCGUAAUAGCUCACUGGUCGAGUCGGCCUGCGCGGAAGAUGUAACGGGGCUAAGUAGUAAACCGAAGCUGCGGCAAUGUGCUUUUGCACAUUGGGUAGGGGAGCGUUCUGUAAGCGGUUGAAGGUGUGUGGUAACGCAUGCUGGACGUAUCAGAAGUGCGAAUGCUGACAUGAGUAACGAUAAAGGGGGUGAAAAACCUCCUCGCCGGAAGACCAAGGGUUCCUGUCCAACGUUAAUCGGGGCAGGGUAAGUCGACCCCUAAGGCGAGGCCGAAAGGCGUAGUCGAUGGGAAACGGGUUAAUAUUCCCGUACUUCUUACAAUUGCGAUGGGGGGACGGAGAAGGCUAGGUGGGCCUGGCGACGGUUGUCCAGGUUCAAGUGCGUAGGCUURAGAGUUAGGUAAAUCCGGCUCUUUUUAAGGCUGAGACACGACGUCGAGCAYCUACGGRUGUGAAGUCAUUGAUGCCAUGCUUCCAGGAAAAGCCUCUAAGCUUCAGAUUGUAAGGAAUCGUACCCCAAACCGACACAGGUGGUCGGGUAGAGAAUACCAAGGCGCUUGAGAGAACUCGGGUGAAGGAACUAGGCAAAAUGGUACCGUAACUUCGGGAGAAGGUACGCUCUCGACGGUGAAGUCCCUCGCGGAUGGAGCUAUUGAGAGUCGCAGAUACCAGGUGGCUGCAACUGUUUAUUAAAAACACAGCACUGUGCAAAAUCGUAAGAUGACGUAUACGGUGUGACGCCUGCCCGGUGCCGGAAGGUUAAUUGAUGGGGUUAGACUUCGGUCGAAGCUCUUGAUCGAAGCCCCGGUAAACGGCGGCCGUAACUAUAACGGUCCUAAGGUAGCGAAAUUCCUUGUCGGGUAAGUUCCGACCUGCACGAAUGGCGUAAUGAUGGCCACGCUGUCUCCACCCGAGACUCAGUGAAAUUGAAAUCGCUGUGAAGAUGCAGUGUACCCGCGGCUAGACGGAAAGACCCCGUGAACCUUUACUACAGCUUGGCACUGAACAUUGACCCUACAUGUGUAGGAUAGGUGGGAGGCUUUGAAGCACGUACGCCAGUAUGUGUGGAGCCGUCCUUGAAAUACCACCCUUGUAGUGUUGAUGUUCUAACGUCGACCCCUUAUCGGGGUUGCGGACAGUGCCUGGUGGGUAGUUUGACUGGGGCGGUCUCCUCCCAAAGAGUAACGGAGGAGCACGAAGGUGGGCUAAUCACGGUUGGACAUCGUGAGGUUAGUGCAAUGGCAUAAGCCCGCUUGACUGCGAGAAUGACAAUUCGAGCAGGUGCGAAAGCAGGUCAUAGUGAUCCGGUGGUUCUGAAUGGAAGGGCCAUCGCUCAACGGAUAAAAGGUACUCCGGGGAUAACAGGCUGAUACCGCCCAAGAGUUCAUAUCGACGGCGGUGUUUGGCACCUCGAUGUCGGCUCAUCACAUCCUGGGGCUGAAGUCGGUCCCAAGGGUAUGGCUGUUCGCCAUUUAAAGUGGUACGCGAGCUGGGUUUAGAACGUCGUGAGACAGUUCGGUCCCUAUCUGCCGUGGGCGUUGGAAGAUUGAAGGGGGCUGCUCCUAGUACGAGAGGACCGGAGUGGACGAACCUCUGGUGUUCGGGUUGUGUCGCCAGACGCAUUGCCCGGUAGCUAAGUUCGGAAUCGAUAACCGCUGAAAGCAUCUAAGCGGGAAGCGAGCCCUGAGAUGAGUCUUCCCUGAUACUUUAAGUAUCCUAAAGGGUUGUCGGAGACUACGACGUUGAUAGGUCAGGUGUGUAAGUGCUGUGAGGCAUUGAGCUAACUGAUACUAAUUGCCCGUGAGGCUUAACCAUACAACACC
rnacentral:rRNA from 1 species